rnacentral:rRNA from 1 species
AUGGGAACGCGAAGAACCUUACCUAGACUUGACAUCUCCUGAAUAGUGUAGAGAUACAUGAAGCCCUUCGGGGCAGGAAGACAGGUGGUGCAUGGUUGUCGUCAGCUCGUGUCGUGAGAUGUUGGGUUAAGUCCCGNAACGAGCGCAACCCCUUAUACUAGUUGCUACCAUUAAGUUGAGCACUCUAGUGAGACUGCCCGGGUUAACCCGGGUAGGAAGGCGGGGAGUGACGUCAAAUACAUCAUGCCCCUUACUGUCUAGGGCAACACACGUGCUACAAUGGUGAGUACAGAUAGAUGCGAUACCGCAAGGUGGAGCCAAACUCUAAAACUACAUCCCAGUUCGGAUUGUAGGCUGCAACUCGCCUACAUGAAGUUGGAGUUGCUAGUAAUCGCGAAUCAGAAUGUCGCGGUGAAUACGUUCCCGGGUCUUGUACACACCG